AUGAACGCUGGCCGCGUGCCUAAUACAUGCAAGUCGAGCGAACGGACGAGAAGCUUGCUUCUCUGAUGUUAGCGGCGGACGGGUGAGUAACACGUGGAUAACCUACCUAUAAGACUGGGAUAACUUCGGGAAACCGGAGCUAAUACCGGAUAAUAUUUUGAACCGCAUGGUUCAAAAGUGAAAGACGGUCUUGCUGUCACUUAUAGAUGGAUCCGCGCUGCAUUAGCUAGUUGGUAAGGUAACGGCUUACCAAGGCAACGAUGCAUAGCCGACCUGAGAGGGUGAUCGGCCACACUGGAACUGAGACACGGUCCAGACUCCUACGGGAGGCAGCAGUAGGGAAUCUUCCGCAAUGGGCGAAAGCCUGACGGAGCAACGCCGAGUGAGUGAUGAAGGUCUUCGGAUCGUAAAACUCUGUUAUUAGGGAAGAACAUAUGUGUAAGUAACUGUGCACAUCUUGACGGUACCUAAUCAGAAAGCCACGGCUAACUACGUG
rnacentral:rRNA from 1 species